AAUUAUUUUGGCAGAAUAGUGCGUUAGAUUUAGAAUCUAUUUAUGUAUUUAUACAAAUAAU
rnacentral:tRNA from 1 species